rnacentral:rRNA from 1 species
GUGAGGAAUAUUGCGCAAUGGAGGCAACUCUGACGCAGCCAUGCCGCGUGCAGGAAGAAGGCGCUACGCGUUGUAAACUGCUUUUAACCGGGAAGAAACCCCAGGACGUGUCCUGGGUUGACGGUACCGGAGGAAUAAGCACCGGCUAACUUCGUGCCAGCAGCCGCGGUAAUACGAAGGGUGCAAGCGUUAUCCGGAUUCAUUGGGUUUAAAGGGUGCGUAGGCGGAGCGUUAAGUCAGUGGUGAAAUCCUGCAGCUUAACUGUAGACUUGCCAUUGAUACUGGCGAUCUUGAGUGCGCUUGAAGUGGGCGGAAUGUGCCGUGUAGCGGUGAAAUGCCUAGAUAUGGCACAGAACACCAAUUGCGAAGGCAGCUCACUAAGGCGAUACUGACGCUGAGGCACGAAAGCGUGGGGAUCGAACAGGAUUAGAAACCCGUGUAGUCC